rnacentral:rRNA from 1 species
AUUGAACGCUGGCGGCAUGCUUUACACAUGCAAGUCGAACGGUAACAGGCCGCAAGGUGCUGACGAGUGGCGAACGGGUGAGUAAUGCAUCGGAACGUGCCCAGUCGUGGGGGAUAACUGCUCGAAAGAGCAGCUAAUACCGCAUACGAUCUAUGGAUGAAAGCGGGGGACCGUAAGGCCUCGCGCGAUUGGAGCGGCCGAUGUCAGAUUAGGUAGUUGGUGGGGUAAAGGCUCACCAAGCCAACGAUCUGUAGCUGGUCUGAGAGGACGACCAGCCACACUGGGACUGAGACACGGCCCAGACUCCUACGGGAGGCAGCAGUGGGGAAUUUUGGACAAUGGGGGCAACCCUGAUCCAGCAAUGCCGCGUGCAGGAAGAAGGCCUUCGGGUUGUAAACUGCUUUUGUACGGAACGAAACGGUCUGGGUUAAUACCCUGGGCUAAUGACGGUACCGUAAGAAUAAGCACCGGCUAACUACGUGCCAGCCGCCGCAGUAAUAC